rnacentral:lncRNA from 1 species
AACUGAACCACUAUAUGCAGCCAAGAAUAAUCAACACCCGUAGUACGCUCGCACACCUAUAAUGGUGGAAGACCUAAGAUUUAAUAUUUGUGAAAAGAUUUAGGUUCAAGUCUUAUCUAGUCAGCACAAUCUCAUGUCUGACAGACCAAAUUUAGAUCAACAUAAUCUCAUGUUUGACGAUCUUAGUUGGCAUGGGUGAAUAUGAAUGACUAAGUAACCUUAUUCAAAAAUUAAUCAACCAAAUUGGUCAGGUAAGAUAAG